GGAGUUUGGACCGUGUCUCAGUUCCAAUGUGGCCGAUCACCCUCUCAGGUCGGCUACUGAUCGUCGCCUUGGUGGGCCAUUACCCCGCCAACUAGCUAAUCAGACGCGAACUCACCCCGAACCGGAUUUCUCCUUUGACCCUUCGCCAUGUGACGUUGUGGUCUCAUGCGGUAUUAGCACCUGUUUCCAAGUGUUAUCCCCCUCGUCCGGGACAGAUUGUUCACGCGUUACUCACCCGUCCGCCGCUAGAAUUACCCAGCUUCCUGCCGAAGCUCUCCGCUAAGUAAUCCCCGCUCGACUUGCAUGUGUUAGGCACGCCGCCAGCGUUCGUCCUGAGCCACUGAUCAAACUACU
rnacentral:rRNA from 1 species